UGUGGCUGGCUUCAACGAACGAAGCAUGUGCACGCCUCAAUUUACCAUCCACAUUUCUUGUACCUCUGUGCACGUCGCGUGGGUCAUGUUACCUGUCUGAAAUAAUGACAGGCAACUUUGCCCAUGUGUCUUCUAAACACACACAUCUGUUUUUUGUUUCAAAGAACGUCAAUAGCUUUGUGCUUUAUUGCAUGCACACAAAUACAACUUUCAGCAACGGAUCUCUUGGCUCUCGCAUCGAUGAAGAACGCAGCGAAAUGCGAUAAGUAAUGUGAAUUGCAGAAUUCAGUGAAUCAUCGAAUCUUUGAACGCACCUUGCACUCCUUGGUAUUCCGAGGAGUAUGCCUGUUUGAGUGUCAUGGUAUUUCUCAAAACCUGUUCCUCCUUUCUUUUCGGAGAGGGCGGGACGGGUUUGGACUUGGAGGUUUUGUCGGGAACCUGUAGYCCGACUCCUCUGAAUUGCAUUAGUUUGAACUGGUGUGGUUGUUUUUAUUCUCAUCAAGUGUGACUCAAUGUGAUAGUUCAUUUGCGUUGUUUCACRUUGGUGUGUCUCUUCAUCAGUUUCAAGCUUCAAAGUGUCCCUUUGGGGACUGACUUUGGACAUCUGACCUCAGAUCAGGUAGGACUACCCGCUGAACUUAAGCAUAUCAAUAAGCGGAGGAAAAGAAACUAACAAGGAUUCCCCUAGUAACUGCGAGUGAAGCGGGAAGAGCUCAAAUUUAAAAUCUGGCAGCUUUGUUGCCCGAGUUGUAGUCUGGAGAAGUGUUUUCUGUGCCGGACCGUGUACAAGUCUCUUGGAACAGAGCGUCGUAGAGGGUGAGAAUCCCGUCUUUGACACGGACUGCUGGUGCUUUGAGAUGCGCUCUCAACGAGUCGAGUUGUUUGGGAAUGCAGCUCAAAAUGGGUGGUAAAUUCCAUCUAAAGCUAAAUAUUGGCGAGAGACCGAUAGCGAACAAGUACCGUGAGGGAAAGAUGAAAAGCACUUUGGAAAGAGAGUUAAACAGUACGUGAAAUUGCUGAAAGGGAAACGCUUGAAGUCAGUCGCAUCGGCCAGAACUCAGCCAGGCUUUUUUUUGCCUGGUGCAUUUUCUGGUYGAUGGGCCAGCAUCAAUUUUGACCGCUGGAUAAAGGCUUAGGAAAUGUGGCACCUUCGGGUGUGUUAUAGUCCUUGGUCACAUGCAGUGGUUGGGAUUGAGGAUCUCAGCAUGCCUUUCGGUCGGGGUUCGCCCACGUUCAUGCUUAGGAUGUUGGCGUAAUGGCUUUAAACGACCCGUCUUGAAACACGGACCAAGGAGUCUAACAUGCCUGCGAGUGUUUGGGUGGAAAACCCGAGCGCGCAAUGAAAGUGAAAGUUGGGAUCCCUGUCGUGGGGAGCACCGACGCCCGGACCAGACCUUUUGCGACGGAUCCGCGGUAGAGCAUGUAUGUUGGGACCCGAAAGAUGGUGAACUAUGCCUGAAUAGGGUGAAGCCAGAGGAAACUCUGGUGGAGGCUCGUAGCGAUUCUGACGUGCAAAUCGAUCGUCAAAUUUGGGUAUAGGGGCGAAAGACUAAUCGAACCAUCUAGUAGCUGGUUCCUGCCGAAGUUUCCCUCAGGAUAGCAGAAACUCAUGUCAGAUUUAUGUGGUAAAGCGAAUGAUUAGAGGCCUUGGGGUUGAAACAACCUUAACCUAUUCUCAAACUUUAAAUAUGUAAGAACGAGCCGUCACUUGAUUGGACCGCUCGGCGAUUGAGAGUUUCUAGUGGGCCAUUUUUGGUAAGCAGAACUGGCGAUGCGGGAUGAACCGAACGCGAGGUUAAGGUGCCGGAAUGCACGCUCAUCAGACACCACAAAAGGUGUUAGUUCAUCUAGACAGCAGGACGGUGGCCAUGGAAGUCGGAACCCGCUAAGGAGUGUGUAACAACUCACCUGCCGAAUGAACUAGCCCUGAAAAUGGAUGGCGCUCAAGCGUGCUACCCAUACCUCGCCGUCAGUGUUGAAGUGACACACUGACGAGUAGGCAGGCGUGGAGGUUUGUGAAGAAGCCUAGGCAGUGAUGCUGGGUGAAACAGCCUCUAGUG
rnacentral:rRNA from 1 species